rnacentral:rRNA from 1 species
GGCGCCCAGCCGGUGGAGCAUGUGGUUUAAUUCGAAGCAACGCGCAGAACCUUACCAGCUUUUGACAUGUCCGGUUUGAUCGGCAGAGAUGCCUUUCUUCAGUUCGGCUGGCCGGAACACAGGUGCUGCAUGGCUGUCGUCAGCUCGUGUCGUGAGAUGUUGGGUUAAGUCCCGCAACGAGCGCAACCCUCGCCCCUAGUUGCCAUCAUUCAGUUGGGAACUCUAGGGGGACUGCCGGUGAUAAGCCGCGAGGAAGGUGGGGAUGACGUCAAGUCCUCAUGGCCCUUACAGGCUGGGCUACACACGUGCUACAAUGGCGGUGACAAUGGGCAGCGAAAGGGCGACCUCGAGCUAAUCCCAAAAAGCCGUCUCAGUUCAGAUUGUACUCUGCAACUCGAGUACAUGAAGGUGGAAUCGCUAGUAAUCGUGGAUCAGCAUGCCACGGUGAAUACGUUCCCGGGCCUUGUACACACCGCCCGUAA